rnacentral:rRNA from 1 species
CCUACGGGUGGCAGCAGUGGGGAAUAUUGCACAAUGGGGGAAUCCCUGAUGCAGCAACGCCGCGUGAGUGAAGAAGUCUUUCGGUAUGUAAAGCUCUAUCAGCAGGGAAGAAGAUGACGGUACCUGAAUACGAAGCGCCGGCUAACUACGUGCCAGCAGCCGAGGUAAUACGUAGGGGGCAAGCGUUAUCCGGAUUUACUGGGUGUAAAGGGAGAGCAUACGGCAGUGCAAGUCUGGAGUGAAAGCCCGGGGCCCAACCCCGGAACUGCUCUGGAAACUGGGCGGCUAGAGUACUGGAGGGGCAGGCGGAAUGCCUAGUGUAGCGGUGAAAUGCGUAGAUAUUAGGAGGAACACCAGGGGCGAAGGCGGCCUGCUGGACAGUAACUGACGUUGAGGCUCGAAAGCGUGGGGAGCAAACAGGAUUAGAUACCCGGGUAGUC